rnacentral:lncRNA from 1 species
CUUUUCUUCUUUCUCAGCUCUCCUAUUAUCAUCUUCCAGACUGCCACCUCUAACCACCGCCGCACCACCAGUACCAUCAACCCCAUCUCCUCCUCCUCCUCUCUACCCUUCCCUUAGUGAAACCCCUAUUUGGUUUGGGAAGAAAGAAUGAAAGAAAAUAAAGGAAAGAAAAGGAGAGAAAGAGAAAGAGAGAGGGGGGAG